AGAGAGAGACACAGAAUCCGAAGCAGGCUCCGGGCUCUGAGCGAUCAGCACAGAGCCUGACGUGGGGCUCGGACCCACGAGAUGCGAGAUCAUGACCAGAGCCGAAGUUGGAGGCUUAACCAACGGAGCCACCCAGGCACCGCCACGUGUACUUCUUGUACCAAGAAAAUGCACGGCUUUCAUGAAACCAAGAAGAGCACCCCGGUUGUUCAGAGAAAAGGAAUUGUUGUCACAUAAAGCCUGUUGCCUAGCAACAAAACAGCACACCUUUCUUCCAGCCAUGGACACACACAGCCUCGCCCUCUUGCCUGCUCAUUCCUCCUGACUGACAAAUACAGGGCUCUUUGGAUAGGAUCUAGGGUUGGGAGAACUGAGUUUUAAGGUUCUGGCUUAAAAACACCAAUCAGUAUGAAGUUUUGAAAAUAGCUAAGAAUUUAACCAGGUAGUCAGAGCCUCUGAAAAAGCCACAAUACAAUAAAACAAGAGGACCAUUGGGCUGAGUUCCUUUUCUGUUUUGUCUUGUUUUGUUUUGUUUUCCACACUGACAGUUUCCCAGGAGAGUCACUCUUCUCCCCCUUAGCCACAGGCACCAAAGUCCUUCUCUGACUUUCAUGCUUAGAGUGAAAAUGGAGUCUUGCAACCCAGCACUUGUCUUCAGACCUUAAGUCCAUUGGUGAAAACCCAUGCCCAUCAAUGCCAGCUUUAUUUCAUUGCCAAAUGCUAAGUCACAAUGGGCAACGUACCUCCUUUCAUAUGUGCUGUAUAACAGAACCAUUGGACAGAAUGUUUGCAAGCAAGUUGCUAACCAACAUUCUAUAGAACAGAGUGUAUUCAGUGAUGACUCACAGAUAAAUUUCUUCACCCUCACGGACCUCAAACUGGGUGUGCCAUUUGCUGUAGAUUGACUCAACGCUUAACCCUUCCAGGGCAGAUUUUACCAGCCCCACCUGAUACAAGAGAAGACUGCAAUUGUGGAGGUCACCCCAGCUACUCCAACGUCCCCUCCCUGGGAGUCGAGUCCUUCCUCUGUUGCCUGGGCCCUGGACCUUCCCGGAGCCUGGUGACUCCUUCCAGGACCUUCUACCCAUGAUCACGCCCACUGAGCUGCCUGGCUGUGCCCUCUGCCCAGCUGGGCCAGCCUGUCUGGCCCCACAGAUGGCCUGGUUCCAAGUCCCAGCUCCUCGCAGCCACUCCAGCAGGCCCUGCCUUGAGCUAGAGCCCUGAAGGUUUGCGAGCAGAAGUGUGACAUGAUCCAAACCAUAGCUCCAGCUGCCGUGUCAAUGUUGCGCUGAAAAAUAGAUCAUGUGGAAGCUGUAUCUGGCAGGAACAGGGUGCUUAAUGAGUAUUUGUUGGCUCGCCUAACAGAUUAAAAGGCAACAACAUGAA